GGUCUCGUAGUGUAGCGGUUAACACGCCUGCGAGAUCGCGGGUUCGAUUCCCGUCGAGACCG
rnacentral:tRNA from 1 species